UACGGGGGGGGCAAGCGUUGUUCGGAAUUACUGGGCGUAAAGGGCUCGUAGGCGGCCAACUAAGUCAGACGUGAAAUCCCUCGGCUUAACCGGGGAACUGCGUCUGAUACUGGAUGGCUUGAGUUUGGGAGAGGGAUGCGGAAUUCCAGGUGUAGCGGUGAAAUGCGUAGAUAUCUGGAGGAACAACGGGGGGGAAGGCGGCAUCCGGGACCAACACUGACGCUGAGUGAGCGAAAGCCAGGGGAGCAAACGGG
rnacentral:rRNA from 1 species